GGGUUGUGAGGUUAAGCGACUAAGCGUACACGGUGGAUGCCCUGGCAGUCAGAGGCGAUGAAGGACGUGCUAAUCUGCGAAAAGCGUCGGUAAGGUGAUAUGAACCGUUAUAACCGGCGAUGUCCGAAUGGGGAAACCCAGUGUGAUCGUCACACUAUCGUUAACUGAAUACAUAGGUUAACGAGGCGAACCGGGGGAACUGAAACAUCUAAGUACCCCGAGGAAAAGAAAUCAACCGAGAUUCCCCCAGUAGCGGCGAGCGAACGGGGAGCAGCCCAGAGUCUGAAUCAGCUUGUGUGUUAGUGGAACGGUCUGGAAAGUCCGACGGUACAGGGUGAUAGUCCCGUACACCAAAAUGCACAGGUUGUGAACUCGAAGAGUAGGGCGGGACACGUGGUAUCCUGUCUGAAUAUGGGGGGACCAUCCUCCAAGGCUAAAUACUCCUGACUGACCGAUAGUGAACCAGUACCGUGAGGGAAAGGCGAAAAGAACCCCGGCGAGGGGAGUGAAAAAGAACCUGAAACCGUGUACGUACAAGCAGUGGGAGCACCUUCGGGUGUGACUGCGUACCUUUUGUAUAAUGGGUCAGCGACUUAUAUUCUGUAGCAAGGUUAACCGUAUAGGGGAGCCGCAGGGAAACCGAGUCUUAACUGGGCGUUAAGUUGCAGGGUAUAGACCCGAAACCCGGUGAUCUAGCCAUGGGCAGGUUGAAGGUUGGGUAACACUAACUGGAGGACCGAACCGACUAAUGUUGAAAAAUUAGCGGAUGACUUGUGGCUGGGGGUGAAAGGCCAAUCAAACCGGGAGAUAGCUGGUUCUCCCCGAAAGCUAUUUAGGUAGCGCCUCGUGAAUUCAUCUUCGGGGGUAGAGCACUGUUUCGGCUAGGGGGUCAUCCCGACUUACCAACCCGAUGCAAACUACGAAUACCGAAGAAUGUUAUCACGGGAGACACACGGCGGGUGCUAACGUCCGUCGUGAAGAGGGAAACAACCCAGACCGCCAGCUAAGGUCCCAAAGUCAUGGUUAAGUGGGAAACGAUGUGGGAAGGCACAGACAGCCAGGAUGUUGGCUUAGAAGCAGCCAUCAUUUAAAGAAAGCGUAAUAGCUCACUGGUCGAGUCGGCCUGCGCGGAAGAUGUAACGGGGCUAAACCAUGCACCGAAGCUGCGGCAGCGACACUAUGUGUUGUUGGGUAGGGGAGCGUUCUGUAAGCCUGCGAAGGUGUGCUGUGAGGCAUGCUGGAGGUAUCAGAAGUGCGAAUGCUGACAUAAGUAACGAUAAAGCGGGUGAAAAGCCCGCUCGCCGGAAGACCAAGGGUUCCUGUCCAACGUUAAUCGGGGCAGGGUGAGUCGACCCCUAAGGCGAGGCCGAAAGGCGUAGUCGAUGGGAAACAGGUUAAUAUUCCUGUACUUGGUGUUACUGCGAAGGGGGGACGGAGAAGGCUAUGUUAGCCGGGCGACGGUUGUCCCGGUUUAAGCAUGUAGGCUGGUUGUCCAGGCAAAUCCGGAUAAUCAAGGCUGAGGUGUGAUGACGAGGUACUACGGUGCUGAAGUAACAAAUGCCCUGCUUCCAGGAAAAGCCUCUAAGCAUCAGGUAACAUCAAAUCGUACCCCAAACCGACACAGGUGGUCAGGUAGAGAAUACCAAGGCGCUUGAGAGAACUCGGGUGAAGGAACUAGGCAAAAUGGUGCCGUAACUUCGGGAGAAGGCACGCUGGUGUGUAGGUGAAGUCCCUGCGGAUGGAGCUGAGACCAGUCGAAGAUACCAGCUGGCUGCAACUGUUUAUUAAAAACACAGCACUGUGCAAACACGAAAGUGGACGUAUACGGUGUGACGCCUGCCCGGUGCCGGAAGGUUAAUUGAUGGGGUUAUCCGUAAGGAGAAGCUCUUGAUCGAAGCCCCGGUAAACGGCGGCCGUAACUAUAACGGUCCUAAGGUAGCGAAAUUCCUUGUCGGGUAAGUUCCGACCUGCACGAAUGGCGUAAUGAUGGCCAGGCUGUCUCCACCCGAGACUCAGUGAAAUUGAACUCGCUGUGAAGAUGCAGUGUACCCGCGGCAAGACGGAAAGACCCCGUGAACCUUUACUAUAGCUUGACACUGAACAUUGAGCCUUGAUGUGUAGGAUAGGUGGGAGGCUUUGAAGCGUGGACGCCAGUCUGCGUGGAGCCAACCUUGAAAUACCACCCUUUAAUGUUUGAUGUUCUAACGUUGGCCCCUUACCGGGGUUGCGGACAGUGUCUGGUGGGUAGUUUGACUGGGGCGGUCUCCUCCCAAAGCGUAACGGAGGAGCACGAAGGUUAGCUAAUCCUGGUCGGACAUCAGGAGGUUAGUGCAAUGGCAUAAGCUAGCUUGACUGCGAGCGUGACGGCGCGAGCAGGUGCGAAAGCAGGUCAUAGUGAUCCGGUGGUUCUGAAUGGAAGGGCCAUCGCUCAACGGAUAAAAGGUACUCCGGGGAUAACAGGCUGAUACCGCCCAAGAGUUCAUAUCGACGGCGGUGUUUGGCACCUCGAUGUCGGCUCAUCACAUCCUGGGGCUGAAGUAGGUCCCAAGGGUAUGGCUGUUCGCCAUUUAAAGUGGUACGCGAGCUGGGUUUAGAACGUCGUGAGACAGUUCGGUCCCUAUCUGCCGUGGGCGCUGGAGAAUUGAGGGGGGCUGCUCCUAGUACGAGAGGACCGGAGUGGACGCAUCACUGGUGUUCGGGUUGUCAUGCCAAUGGCACUGCCCGGUAGCUAAAUGCGGAAGAGAUAAGUGCUGAAAGCAUCUAAGCACGAAACUUGCCCCGAGAUGAGUUCUCCCUGAGACUUUAAGUCUCCUGAAGGAACGUUGAAGACGACGACGUUGAUAGGCCGGGUGUGUAAGCGCAGCGAUGCGUUGAGCUAACCGGUACUAAUGAACCGUGAGGCUUAACCUUACAACGCCGAAG
rnacentral:rRNA from 1 species